AACAAUUAACAGCAUUCAAGGAGGGCUCUGCUGGUAACAGAUUCUUCCUAAAUUCCGAGGCUCACCAUGCAAGAAGCUGUCUGGCUGUUUUCCCUCAGCAGUGGUCAGAGGAGGUCAUGAAAAACAGGAACGCAGUCAGGAAGCAUGCCGUGCCCAGGCUACAGGCCCUGCCUCCUGCCUGCCUGCCAUAGCACCCUACAGAUUCAGAGUAAUGCAUCAGGCUCAGACACCCCAGUGAUGAUCAGAAAGAAUGGUUAAAUGGGUGAACUCAUUAUUAUAAUGACUGCUCUUUUCAUACCUGCUUGCUUACAUGUAAGAGAGAAACUCUGGAUUGAUGGGACCAUGUCAAUUAUUUUAUUUCUUCUAGCAGAACCAG
rnacentral:lncRNA from 1 species